UAAGAUUUUCCUAUGCAUUGUCUCACUUAAUAUUCACUACAGCCCUAAUAAUUAGGUGCUAUUAUUCUAAAUGCAUAGAAGUAUAAAUGAAAUUUCAGAUUAAAUAAUUUAAAUAACUUGCCCAAAGUCUUACUGCCAAACAGGAAAGGAGCCCUAACUCAAGCAUAUCAGAUGUACUAUGGCUCCUGAUCCCAAUCUCACAGGCUUCCUUCUAAGACAGGUUAAAACCUUAAGUCCUUAAUCACUGUGGCCAAGAGAGGAGUUCUGAUAAACUGGUGGGAAACUUUCCAGGAAUUGUACUCAUUUCACCCAGGUGAGGGUUUCCUUGUUUUAAGGCCUUUAUUGCCGAGUUUUUCCCUAUUUGCUUAAAGUUAUUUUCUACGUGCUUAAAGUGAGACUAUAAAUAUUAAGACAGGUUUUUUGCUGUUGUUUUGUCUCUUUUUCUGUUUCCCUCUUCCCUUUCUCCUCCUCAGACCAUCUGCAUUUCCCCCUCCCCUACUGUGUCACUAAUGCUAAUAACCUAUGUGCAUGCUUCUGCGACUUUCUACAUGUUCAUAUAAUGACAUAUAAACAUAUCUAUUCCCAUUGCUUUACAAAAAUUGGAUUGCAGUAUAUGGACUUGGACUUCUCUGCAUGUUGUAACAAGACAUUGGGGAGAAAGAUCCCUCCAAUGUGGUUGAUCUUCAACCAUUUCCCUGUUGAAGGCAUGUUUGUUUGUUUGUUUCCAAUUCUUUGUGUUUCAGUAAACAUGCUUGUUACCUACUGAUGCUUUUAUUUUUGAGAUUCAUUCCCAGAAACAGGAUUACUGGAACUAAGGUAUAUAUAAUUUUAAUUUUUAUAGGUCUGUCUGGAUUAUUUUCAAAAAGUUCUGGAACAAUUCACAUUUACAGCUUUCAUUGUUAAAUGAAACCAUUUUUCUGAAUCCUCACCAGAAUCUUUGGCAACCACCAAUCUUCUUUCUGUCAGUAUGGAUUUACCUAUUCUGGAUAUUUCAUACAAACGGAAUCACACAAUAUGUGACCUUUUGUGUCUGGCUCCUUCCACGUAGUAUAAUGUUUUCGAGGUGCAUCAGCAAACCCAUGUUCUUUGCUCUGGACAAAGUACACCAGGAAUUCUCCAAUUUGCAGUGGAAUAAAUAAUCCCACAAAUGUACUGCAUCUUUCCGUGAGACAGACAUAAUUUGGAAAUGUGCGUCUCAUGGAAGUGAAGGUGUUUCUUCAUUUGUUUGUUUUUGUUGUUUGAUUGAUUCUGUAUGAGACCUCACAUGAGACACAACACCGGCCUCGCAGUUGGUGGCUGAAUAAAAUUGAUGUCAUGGAUUGAAUA